rnacentral:lncRNA from 8 species
AAAUGUCAAUGCGCAUCAAUUGUCUAUGACGCCUGUGGUUCAAUCAACAACAAAACUUGUGCGAACAUGUUUUCGUACCUUAAGAGCUUAUUGCUAAUUCAUUAGAAAUAGUUGAAGCUUCCAAAACAGUUUUAUUAGCUUAUUUUAUUUGUGCAUUGAUCGUUGCUGGUCCUUUCAGAUUAUAUUUGUUGUAGUGAAAUAGAAAAGUUGUUGCAGCGAUAUGAGCGACAGACAUGGAAGUUCUGCAAAGUUCAAUCAGAGCCCAAGGCAGGUGGUCCUUCCUCCAUUCUCCAACAGGACCCUUCACCAUCCCUCCUUCCUUCCCCUGUACAUGGCAGCCAUGGGCUCGGCCCAGUACCCCAGGAGACCCCACCAACAGCCAGUUCCAGUUAUGACUCCCUCUGAGUUCUUCUACACGGACCCCACCAUGCCACGGGGACAACGGGUACUGAACAUCGUGACCGAGUUGCAGGUUUUUGAGUGCUUCCAACUCAACACCCCUCGCCCCAUCAUGUCCUUUUGCCCUGCACCCCCCGUCAGACCUGACCCCUUCAGAACACAAGCCCACCCUACUAGAGACCUGGGUGGCCACACCUGGAGGAGGGACCCUCCCCAUCUGCCCAUCACCCCCAGGCUGAGGCCCCUCGCACCCAGGCCCAGAGAGAGGGGACGGAGUCAGGCUGUGAUCCAGCUAAGCCUGGAGGAGGAUCAGGCUAUAACCAACCUACUGAAGCUCCAUCACCAAAAGCCUGCCCAUCCAGAGGUCACUACUGCCGUCAUCUCCACCCAGGUGGCUUGUCCUGAAGGGACAUCACUAGUUGAUCACACCUCAACCCUUAGCCAGCUAUCAGUGGGUCAGUCCAUUCCCACCACCAAACCAUCUCCAGCUGACGAGAUGGGGCUCUUUCAUAGAGAGGACCAGCUCUUUGUGUUGGCCAUCUUGGAGCCCCAACAUCAGAACCAGCCCAGACUGAGGUCUGAUGUGGAGCUGGAGGCAGCGAACGCAUUGCUCACUAUGGAUGAGGAGUCGGUCAGUCUGAUGGAUGAUGAAGGGCCCUGGAACCAGACUCAGACCCUGGACAGGCCCUCUAACAGAAGCCCUGAGAAUCUACAUCUUCAGUACUUCUCACCCGAAGAGUGUGAUGGUGAUACAGUGCUAUUAGAAGACGAUGAAAGCUGCCUAUCCCCAGAAGCUUUGCCUCCAAUGACCAGUAUUUGGGAUGUCGUGGCUCUGAGAAAUGGGACCGUCACAGAGUCUGAGGGGAUGGCUGUGGAUGCCCUGUUAAUACUGGGUGACCUCACAACCCCAUGUUGUCCUCAUUUCAGUUAG